rnacentral:rRNA from 1 species
GAUGAACGCUGGCGGCGUGCCUAAUACAUGCAAGUCGAGCGAACAGACGAGGAGCUUGCUCCUCUGACGUUAGCGGCGGACGGGUGAGUAACACGUGGAUAACCUACCUAUAAGACUGGGAUAACUUCGGGAAACCGGAGCUAAUACCGGAUAAUAUAUUGAACCGCAUGGUUCAAUAGUGAAAGACGGUUUUGCUGUCACUUAUAGAUGGAUCCGCGCCGCAUUAGCUAGUUGGUAAGGUAACGGCUUACCAAGGCAACGAUGCGUAGCCGACCUGAGAGGGGGAUCGGCCACACUGGAACUGAGACACGGUCCAGACUCCUACGGGAGGCAGCAGUAGGGAAUCUUCCGCAAUGGGCGAAAGCUUGACGGAGCAACGCCGCGUGAGUGAUGAAGGUCUUCGGAUCGUAAAACUCUGUUAUUAGGGAAGAACAAAUGUGUAAGUAACUAUGCACGUCUUGACUGUACCUAAUCAGGAAGCCACGGCUAACUACGUG